GGGUUUUUAGGUAUAAUAAAAGUUUAAUUACUCUUGCUUGACAUGCAAGAGGUCACAGGUUCAAGUCCUGUAUCGCCCA
rnacentral:tRNA from 1 species